rnacentral:rRNA from 1 species
GACGAACGCUGGCGGCGUGCUUAACACAUGCAAGUCGAACGGAAAGGCCUGCUUUCCCUUGUGGAUUGCGGGUACUCGAGUGGCGAACGGGUGAGUAACACGUGAGUGAUCUGCCCCCAACUUGGGUAUAAGCCUGGGAAACUGGGUCUAAUUCCCGAUAGGACUGCAGGGUGGUGCCUGUGGUGGAAAACGAUUUUCUAGUGGUUGGGGAUGAGCUCGCGGCCUAUCAGCUUGUUGGUGGGGUAAUGGCCUACCAAGGCGGCGACGGGUAGCCGGCCUGGGAGGGUGGACGGCGACAUUGGGACUGGGAUACGGCCCAGACUCAUACGGGAGGCAGCAGUGGGGAAUACUGCACAAUGGGCGGAAGCAUGAUGCAGCGACGCCGCGUGGGGGAUGACGGCGUUCGGGUUGUAAACUCCUUUCGACCGCGAGGAAGCCACCUGGUUGGAAGGGUGGUGACGGUAGUGGUAGAAGAAGCCACGGCUAACUAAGUG